CAUUCAACAAUUUAUCAGGAUUCUGAACUGUUUUCAUUUGCAGAAAACUGAAGAAAAGAAGAGGAGAUUGCUGGAGGCAAGACUAAGGAAACGUAAACUCUUGGCUGAAGUCCGAUUUUUGAGAAGAAAACUUGAUACCUCACUUGCAAACCCGUAUCAGCAAGUUAGAUUGAAGGAACCAUCAAGUACAAUUCCAGUGAUCAAACCUCCUACAGAAAAGAAACCCAAAGUAUCUGGAGCUGCACGUACAAGUAACUACACUAUAGAUAACUUGUACGCAAAUGCAUCACAGUAUCAGUUUAAAAAGAUGUUUCAGAAAAAGCCAACCAAAUCUCUUUGUGUUGCACAAUCUUCGGGUUUUAGGAAGGCCCCCCUCAAAACAUGAUGACAAUGGAAGCUACAAAUGCUAGUACGUGAGAAUGAAGUAUUGUUUAAGAAUUGGGAGGAACUGAACAAGUUUCAGUUGGAGCAGUAUUACAUACAAAUGGAGAGACUCAAUAGAGUGCCUAUGAUUGGAGGAGGCUCAAAUGAUAAGUUAGUGAGUUGCAGAGAUCUUGGAAACAACUCAAAGAAGACCGGUAAGCGAAAACUCUCAUGGCGAGACCCACCGACUAGUGUUGAAGGCUUGAAGUCUUGAUGCAAAUUUUGUUUUGCAAGAAUUGACACAGAAUA